GACCCCAUAACCUGCCACGUGGGGACCAGUAGCAGCAGGGAGCCUUGCUCUGGGGCCUGGGGGCCAGCCCAGCGAGGUGGCUCUGGCAGAUGGACCGGGGCUCCUGCUCACCACGGGGAUGGCAGGCUGUUGGGCCAGAGGGGGGCUGAGGUCCGCCCACUGGAAAGUGUGGCCCCAGCCAGGGGCGGAUGUGUCCUGAGAGGCCCAGGCAGCCAGGAGGGACCAGGAGGAGAGGACAGAUCCAGGAGGGCUGCAGUCAGAGCUGCGCUGACACCCGAGGAGAAAACCUCUCUUUAAUCCCUCUUUACUAAGUGGGUCGCAGCCUCCCACCAUGGACGCCAGGGCAGAAGAGGGGACAGAGAAGUGAGAAGAGGUGGUGGGUACAGCCCUCGCCCACGGUCCACCCAGCCCAUUUGGGCAGCAGGUCCCCACCAGCACCGGGAUGGCCUAAAGCCACAUUCUGAACCUGGGCCCCUGCAUGUGGACGGAGCGAACACGGAAAAUCAGGGGCCGCUCAGCCAAGCGCGAGCUUCGCCGACGGGAGCCUUCCCCGGGGACACAGGGGCUGUGGGGCCUCCCCACCGGUGCCCUGGCCGCCGUGUCAGCGCAGCGACUCCGCACUAUGGGCACUGCAGUGAUGGGGAGCGCCCGGGGCCCCCAGGAG